rnacentral:rRNA from 1 species
CCUGCACUUUGGGAUAAGCCUGGGAAACUGGGUCUAAUACCGAAUAUGACCACGCUCUUCAUGGGGUGUGGUGGAAAGCUUUUGCGGUGUGGGAUGGGCCCGCGGCCUAUCAGCUUGUUGGUGGGGUAAUGGCCUACCAAGGCGACGACGGGUAGCCGGCCUGAGAGGGUGACCGGCCACACUGGGACUGAGAUACGGCCCAGACUCCUACGGGAGGCAGCAGUGGGGAAUAUUGCACAAUGGGCGCAAGCCUGAUGCAGCGACGCCGCGUGAGGGAUGACGGCCUUCGGGUUGUAAACCUCUUUCACCAGGGACGAAGCGCAAGUGACGGUACCUGGAGAAGAAGCACCGGCCAACUACGUGCCAGCAGCCGCGGUAAUACGUAGGGUGCGAGCGUUGUCCGGAAUUACUGGGCGUAAAGAGCUCGUAGGUGGUUUGUCGCGUUGUUCGUGAAAACUCACAGCUUAACUGUGGGCGUGCGGGCGAUACGGGCAGACUAGAGUACUGCAGGGGAGACUGGA